ACAAGCGGUGGAUGAUGUGGAUUAAUUCGAUGCAACGCGAAAAACCUUUACCUACCCUUGACAUGUCCGGAAUCCCGAAGAGAUUUGGGAGUGCUCGCAAGAGAGCCGGAACACAGGUGCUGCAUGGCUGUCGUCAGCUCGUGUCGUGAGAUGUUGGGUUAAGUCCCGCAACGAGCGCAACCCUUGUCAUUAGUUGCCAUCAUUUGGUUGGGCACUCUAAUGAGACUGCCGGUGACAAACCGGAGGAAGGUGGGGAUGACGUCAAGUCCUCAUGGCCCUUAUGGGUAGGGCUUCACACGUCAUACAAUGGUCGGUACAGAGGGUUGCCAAGCCGCGAGGCGGAGCCAAUCCCACAAAGCCGAUCGUAGUCCGGAUUGUUCUCUGCAACUCGAGAGCAUGAAGUCGGAAUCGCUAGUAAUCGCAGGUCAGCAUACUGCGGUGAAUACGUUCCCGGGUCUU
rnacentral:rRNA from 1 species